GGCAACGUGGGCUCUCACUUCAUGGGUAUUCUGUGAUGAGGGUGGUGAAACAACCCACAAGAGCUCACAAGCUUCAUGGCUCCUGGUGGUUUUCCAAAGCAGGUGAUGGACCAGCUAACUAUAGCUUCAAGCUCCUUUUUUACCGCAGUCUUCAGGUGAAAUGAGGUAUUUCGCCGAGUUUCUUGUCCCCAGGCUCAUUUUUCUGUCAAGAGAUCACACUUUUCUUGUAGCAGAUUAGUUUUUAAUGCCAAAUGUCUGCCAAAACAUCUGAAAGAAAGCCUUCACGCUUUCAACGUGGUACAUGAGGCUUUAGUGCUGCAGAGCAUUAAUGGAGAUCAGUGGCACUGUGUAAUUUCCUGGAACUAAAGCUUUCCUUGAACCUUAAUCUGAGGGUAAGAGGUGCUCGGAAGUCUCCUGGGUUGAUGCUGGAUGGAAGCAAGAAAGAAAUAUCCCAAAGCUCAGAUCAGGAUCUCAGCCAAGCUCAUGCAUCAGCCAGCACAGCAAGGAGCAGACUGGGAUGCUCCCUUUGGUUACCUGAGGGUCCGUGCACUCAGGGGUGUUUAUGGAUAGCUUCAACAGAGCGACUCGACUGGAAAUGGCUUCUUCUUUACACAUACUUCCUUUACGGUUCUUUGCCAUUUUUAGGGUGGAUUCAGUGCUCGCCAGCUGCUUUUGACUGCACAGGAGAAGCUGAAUGAACGCUAUUUUCCACUCCCAUUGUCUCUCCUUGCUAAAUACUAUUGCUGUUCUCAUACUUUUAUGACCGUGGAGUCGGUACUUCGCGCAUACCACCACUCAUGGCCCUACUAUUACACUUUUGGCAGGAACAUGUUAAGUUUUUAUGGGAGCUAAAAAGCAUGAGAGAGAGAACCUGAACCAAAGACAACAUAAAGAGCCUUAUUUCUUUGGGUAGAAGCCCAACAAAACGAUUAAAUAGCUCAAAGCAGAACAGAAAGCUCCCUCCAGGAUGCUAAGCUGAGAGACACCACACUCCAGCGGUUAUUUGGUGCCCCAUGGAGAAAGGAAAAUAUUCCAAGAGGAGAUUGCUGUAAGAGGGGGUGGCAGCUGCUGAGCAGUUGACACCACCGGUUGCACUAGGACAGUAAGUUGGAGCCCAGGCUGGAGAGUGUUUGUCCAAGACCAGCUGGGUUCAUGGCUCUCCUCUUUCCUCCCAUUCCCACAGCUUCCUGUGCUGCGCUGCCUAGGAGAAAACCGCUGUAGGAAUGAAUGGCAUCAUCCCUGGGAGCUGGACCCAGGGCAUCUGCUCUGAGGUGGCCCUGGCUCUGCGCUCCGGCGCGGGGGCAGCCCAUGGCACUGCUCCUCUUCCUGUGUAAGGAGAUGUCAGAACCCCAAGGAUCAGAAGGAGGUUUCUGAAGCAGAAAGGACUUUAACGUUUGGGUUGAACUCACUUCUCCACUGCAGCCAGGCCUGGCUGAGCCGCGGUGCUGGAGCAGUGCAGCGUGCGUGCUGCCGGCAGCGGCGAGGAGGGACGAGCCCUCACGGGGCCGGAAGAGCUGGGAAGUUCUGAGAAGUUUGGGUUUGGUUCCAAGCUUUAUCACCGCUGCUGCAGCCAAACCAGCGGCUUUGAUGUGAGAUCCCAAACCCCACGAGCAUCCGAGCCUGAGCGUCGAGGGCCGGUUCUGCUGCCAAUAACAGGCGAGCUCCGAAAUAACCGCACACGCUGGGGGCCACGGAAAAGGAGUGAGGUCCUUCUGCCUUCCCAUCAAUGCAGGCGUCACCCCUUUGCUUGCAUUAUAGAGUCAGCAUUGAUGGGAGUUUGGCAACCUGGGGAGGAGCUUUAUCAUGUUGCUAAAAUGUCUCUGCCCGGUUUUCUUUCCAGACCAGUGCUUCCUCUCUGCUCCUUUUUCUUUAGACUCCUCCUGACUUACUUGAACGGAUCCAUUUUCUUGAGAUCAGAGGCAGGAAUGUUGCAUGUUCAUGACAGCCCAUUGCGUCAGAGGCUGAUGGACCUGGUGCCUGCGGCUGAGCACGCUGCAUCAUCAGCACAGCCUCUUCACAACCUCUGAUGCCCAAAUGGUGCCUUGGUCCCCCAGCCAGGCCAUGAAACCAGGAGGCGACCAGCUAAGGUGAGCCUGUUUUUAACUAAAGUAUAGAAUACCUGGCUACUGUGUGGAGGAAACCAGAAGUAUCUCACGUGCCGUGGGUUAAAACAAGAUAGGGUUUGACUCAAAUGCAUUAGAACUGUCCUUGGCUUUGGAUACAAUCCUUUAUGUGGGGUUGAAGUGUUCUGCAUGGCCUCUGUUAAGCACCCCCUCAGAACAAGUGUGGCUGCGUUGGUGAGGAGUGCAUUUAAUCACAGCUGUCAAUGGAUGAUCAGCUGAAGAUGGUGCUGGAGCCUCCAGCUAGCAACACCCAGGACUGUGCUGAGGUUUUGUCCUUACUGAGGUCAGUGUCUCCUGCACUGGGCUCUGGUGAGUUCAAUGGAAACACUCCUGCUUGACUUGGGAACGUGUUGUUUUCUCCAUUGAAGCAGAAAUCCUGUUUCUUCCAGGGCACAUGACUCAGCUGUGAUCAGGCAGCAUCACCUCCCGUGGGCUCAUUCCCCAUUCCCACUCCUGACUGCAGCCACCUGGAUAGCACAGUCACUUCCCAGGCGGUGCAUAAACACUACAGAUGCAAAUGGAAAGCACUGUUUUAACAGGUAGACUAUUUUUAAGGAAUCCAGGCUCUGGCUUUUCUCCACCUAUUGCCCAUUCCAAGGCAUUCCUGAAGUACCCUGUGGGCUGACAGGUACGGCUUUGGGGCGACCCGAGAACAGCCUGAUCAUAUUGAGUGAAUAUCUCUCCGAUAAACAGGGCUUUUAUUCAUCCCAGAUUUUUGGGAUCCAUUGCAUGGGAUGGAUUUCCUCACCUAGGAAAGGAUUAGAGGUCAGCAAGAGGUUUCCUUGUGCUCUGGUUGCUCCAGGAGCUGUGGCACAGUGGCUCUGGGGUUAUCACCAGCACAGGCAGCCUGCAAGGGCUGUGUUCCUCCAAAGGGAUGCCAGUGCAAGGCACGGCUCAAAUUCCUUGGACUGCGGAUCCUCUUAGAAGGUCUUAAUAAAUGAUUAGGCCAAGAGUAUGAUAAAUAUGUAAUAGAUCAUUUUGUGUGUGUCAGCGGAAUGCAUUGGCUUGCUUCUAGUCAGUGUUUGUGGCAAGGUGAUUUUAUCUCAGGCAAUAUGAUUAAAUGAAAUAGUUAUGUGCCAGGUUUUACCCUGUGUAAGUGGAAUAUGUGGUAUAAGGUGUGAGCAAAGCUGUAGGAAUUACUCUAACUAAUGCCUGCUGUCAUCAUCAGCCCGAACCAUUCUAUGACAAGAGGUUGGUCAGGCUCAAUUUGACCAUUUUAUGCCAUCCCAGCCCUGGUUUAGCUCCUGUCUCAUGUUCCUGCAGGGCUUCAAAGCCAUGUGUGACCCGUAUGUGGCUGUGAGGCUGUGGCACCCCAGGUGCCGCUUCAAGCUGGGACAUCCAGCGCAGCGUCCCAGCAAACUGGUGGCAUCCAUGGGGAGAUGGGAAAGCAAAGUGAAGAUCCACUUUCUAAUCACCUUCUAGCCUCUCCCACCUCCCGCCCACAGCCUCCUGCAGUCUGCUCAUUAACUUAAUGACAGUCCCAGCUCCAGCACUCAAUCCAGCCCCAGAGCAGGAGCCUUGCCAGGAAGGUCUCGCCUCCUGUGUCCUGUCUGGGUUUAGACCAAGCCCGUGGACACGUACAUGAGCAGCACAGGCUGCAGCAGCAAAUCCCAUUGCCUCAUGUGGGGGAUUUAAGUGCUAACUCCCAGUGCACAGUGCAAGCCAAAUGUGUGGGACCUGCUCUAUGGAAAGAACACACUGGAUGGAGAAUGGCAAAAGCUCAGCCAAGGAUGGGCUGGAGGAUGAAUUGGACCCAGGGGACACGUUUGGGCUUUGCAGUAGAGGCAAUUGCCUGAUUAUCGUCUUCAUCUUAAGACACCACUCGCAGUGUUCACUGCUGAAGCCAGUCUGUCCAGUGUGGGUAGAUGCUUCCACUGGAGCACACUCCGUGCAGGAGCUGCAGCUCUUCCCAGAUAGCAGGGCCUGAGCAAGGACCAUGGGCCCUGGGUUGUGCUUCCAGGGCAGAGCUGUGGCCAUGACCACUUUUACAAGUGCCCUUUCCUCCUUGCAGGCUCAAGCUGAGACAAAUAUAAAGCAUCAUCCCUCCUGUGCUCCACUGCAGUGCUGCCUCCCAGCAUCUUGCUUGUGUGGACUACUGGGCUGGCUGGAAGCAGCCACUAAUAUGUGCCAUGAGUGACACCAUCCUCAUGGUCUCACCUCUGGCACACAAGGAGGAUGAGGACCCAGGAAUGAUGCACAGGGUGCACGGCUGGCGAAAAUACCUUCCAGAGUCAGACUGCAGUGCAGAGGAGCAUGCAAGGAGAGCUUCAGAUGAAAGAUCAGAGCAAGGCGAGCUCAAAGCUGAAUGUGGCGUUUCCCAGCUUGGAUCCUGACCCCUCCCUUUUGGCUUGGACAUCCCUGAGACCACCCAGCUCAAACGCUGUCCCUGCAUCCCCAGAACAGCCGGGGAGCUGUGGCUGCAGGAGGAGGAGGAGGAGGAAGAGGCGAUGCCCAGCGCUCGGGCAGGAAAAGGUCAGAGGGAGCAGAGGUUGGCUGCGCACGAUUGCUUCUCAUGAGAUCUGAACUUACAGAAGCUCACGCAAGUCAAAAGAUAUGUUUCAGUAGGAGCAGGGUGUCUGGCUGGAAUGGGCCCCAGGAAGUUGUUUUGGUUUUUAAAUAAAUAGCUGUAUCUUGCAUCAAAAAUGAACCAUUUUGCAUCAGAAAUGAACCGUUUCCUAGUGCUGUGUCACUUCAACAGAUUCCCUGUUUUUUAAUGCUCCAAAUACCGUGUUUUGCGAUUUAAGAUGUAUUUUAUAUUUCAAUUCUCAUCCUGAUCCAGGUUUCUUGGGCUAAUUUGCAGUAAUUCUGAGGUCACAAUUUGAACGGAUGUUCGGUUCCGGGUUCCCUCCUCUCUCAGGGGGCUGCAGUCUCUUGCGGGGU